GCGCGGGAGCGCGCGCGCGCGUGUGUGAGUCUUUAAAUUUGAAGAAAUGUAAUUGUUUUCAUUUUUUCUUUUGUGAACAAUAUUCCUUAUCAUCUGCAAUGAAGUCUGACGUUUGAUUCGGAAAAGUGUAAUCAGCAUCUAUUUUCUUCUCGUUCUGGUCCGUUGCCUGUCCUUUUCGCAAUGUGGUCAGGAAUGGAGCCGGCGACAUGACCGCAACAAAGCAAGGCGACGAUCCUCGGCAGCCCCGACCGCGGCGCCACCCGCCCGAAAGCACCUACAGCCCCAAGGAUGCGACCCAAAGAGGG